UCUGUUCUUUAAAUUCAAUAGCUUCCUUACUUUUUAAUGUCCAUCUAUUCCACGCACAUACACAGUUUCUCAGUUUCAAAGGCAUCAAGACUCCUUUUUUUUUUUUUACUAUAAAUAUUCUGGAAAAGUCAAAUUGUUGACACAUUUUAAAAGUAGAAAACCAUUCUCCAUCUUUAAUUACGUUCAAGGAAGCCAAGAAGUUUGCGAAUUGAAAUAUUCUGUUGGAUUAUUCUUUCAAAAAUUAGUUGAUUUGACGAGGUAGGAUACUAUGUGCAAGUUGUUCCGUCCUUUCAAUAUUAUAAUUUUUGACGUGAUUUAUUUCAUGAAAUGCUAAUUGAGAAAUGAAAUGUGAGAUCUCCUCGGGUCUUCUCAAAUAUGUUAGAGUAUUCGAUUGAUCACCAAUUGCUCUUGAUGAAAUGAUGGUUAGAUCGGUCGACAUGAAUGGUGGCUGAGCGAUGCGCAGGCUGCCAAGUAAAGAAAUUUUCAAGAAAACAUUUAAAAUAAUUCUUCUAGGACAUUUUGUGUUUCCAUUUAACGUUUCAUAUUACCUGACGAUACAUUUAUUUGAUUUAGCCUUUGAGUAUUAAAUAAAUUAGGAGUUUUAAAGUUCCAAUUUA